rnacentral:rRNA from 1 species
UACGGGGGGGGCAAGCGUUGUUCGGAAUUACUGGGCGUAAAGGGCUCGUAGGCGGUUCGGCAAGUCGGAUGUGAAAUCUCCACGCUCAACGUGGAGGGGCCAAGUGAUACUGUCGUGCUAGAGUGCGGAAGGGGCUACUGGAAUUCUCGGUGUAGCGGUGAAAUGCGUAGAUAUCGAGAGGAACACCUGCGGCGAAGGCGGGUAGC